rnacentral:rRNA from 1 species
GACGAACGCUGGCGGCGUGCCUAAUACAUGCAAGUAGGACGCAGUUGCGAACGGGUGAGUAACGCGUAGGUAACUACCUAUUAGAGGGGGAUAACUCUUGUAAACGAUAGCUAAUACCGCAUACUAGUAGAUGGACCUGCGUUGUAUUAGCUAGUAGGUAGGGUAAUGGCCUACCUAGGCAAAGAUACAUAGCCGACCUGGGAGGGGGUUCGGGCAAAACGGGACUGGGACACGGGCCAGAAUCCGACGGGAGGCAGCAGUUGGGAAUCUUCGGGAAUGGGGGGAACCCUGACCGAGCAACGGCGCGUGAGUGGAGAAGGGUUUCGGAUCGUAAAGCUCUGUUGUUAAGGAAGCGGUACUUAACCAGAAAGGGAUGGCUAACUACGUGCCAGCAGCCGCGGUAAUAC